CCUACGGGAGGCAGCAGUGAGGAAUAUUGGUCAAUGGGCGCGAGCCUGAACCAGCCAAGUAGCGUGAGGGAUGACUGCCCUACGGGUUGUAAACUUCUUUUAUAAAGGAAUAAAGUGCGGCACGUGUGCCUUUUUGCAUGUACUUUAUGAAUAAGGAUCGGCUAACUCCGUGCCAGCAGCCGCGGUAAUACGGAGGAUCCGAGCGUUAUCCGGAUUUAUUGGGUUUAAAGGGUGCGUAGAUGGGUUGUUAAGUCAGUUGUGAAAGUUUGCGGCUCAACCGUAAAAUUGCAGUUGAUACUGGCGGUCUUGAGUACAGUUGAGGUAGGCGGAAUUCGUGGUGUAGCGGUGAAAUGCUUAGAUAUCACGAAGAACUCCGAUUGCGAAGGCAGCUUACUAAGCUGCCACUGACGUUGAUGCUCGAAAGUGUGGGGAUCAAACAGGAUUAGAUACCCCGGUAGUC
rnacentral:rRNA from 1 species